UACGUAGGUGGCAAGCGUUGUCCGGAAUUAUUGGGCGUAAAGCGCGCGCAGGCGGUUCUUUUAAGUCUGAUGUGAAAGCCCACGGCUCAACCGUGGAGGGUCAUUGGAAACUGGAGAACUUGAGUACAGAAGAGGAAAGCGGAAUUCCACGUGUAGCGGUGAAAUGCGUAGAGAUGUGGAGGAACACCAGUGGCGAAGGCGGCUUCUGGUCUGUAACUGACGCUGAGGAGCGAAAGCGUGGGGAGCGAACGG
rnacentral:rRNA from 1 species